rnacentral:snRNA from 1 species
ACACUUAUCUGAACAGGGUUAAUGGACGAUCAACAAGGUCCAUGGCCUAGGUUGGUAACCUCCAUCGCACUUUGGAGAGGUGCUCACCUAGUUUCUUUUCUUUUGUUGUAGAAGAAUGAAGAAGAAAAUGGUUUGCUUCUC